CUUGUAAUCUAAUGCACCCUGCCGGUAUACGCCUGCAUUGCAUUGGCACACUUUGAUGCUGGACUCCACACCUGCAUACACACCUGGCAGCUGGCAAUCAGAUCAAGCCCCUUAUUGUCAUAAUAUCUGCUCUUGGAACAUUGAUGAAGGUCCAAGCAAGGCAGUCAGAUUGUGGAAUCAAAGUGAGGGCCAGCAGUCUACAGCCUGUAGAAGAGGAGUUUUAAAACAGUGGGCAAUUGUUUGCAAGUGGAAGGAAGCAGAGAUGGUAGUGAGAGUGGAAGAAACGUGCUGUCCAUCCAGGAGAAGUCUGACUUCUGCAGUGACUGUAAGUUGUCCUUUCACAUAUUGAAGAUGAUGUUGAGGCCAUACAUUGAUGUCACAAACACAGGCACAAAGUAUAACUUCAAGGCAAUUUCAAAUAGACACUCAAGCCAAUUAGAGUCAUAAGAUAUUACCUGAC